rnacentral:rRNA from 1 species
AUGCACUGCAGGUGGCACAUUAUAAAGAAGGCUGAGGAGACGCUAGGACCGUUCUUUGCUGACCGUCCAAAGCUGCACAAGGCAUUCAAGUUGUGUGUGGACCACAGCUUGACAGUGGAGGAGUUUGAAAGGAGCUGGAUGGCCAUGAUUGAAACACAUCAAGUCCAAGACAACGAGACACUUGCUAACCUGUGGGAGAAGCAAAUGUACUGGGUGCCGGCCUACUUCAUGCAAUGCUUCUUCCCAUUUCUGCAGACUACGCAGCGCAACGAGGGGUUCAAUGCUGUUUUGAAGCGGUACGUCAGCCCUGGCAACUCAUUGCUACAAUUUGCCAAGCAGUACACAGCUUUGCAACAAAAAAUUCUGGGAUCUGAGCUACAGCAAGAAGCGACCACAGCACUAAAGCAGCCAAAGUUGCUAACGUAUUUACCGAUGGAGAGGCAAAUGAGCAAGAUAUACACGAACAAGAUCUUUAACAAGUAA